GACGAACGCUGGCGGCGUGCUUAACACAUGCAAGUCGAACGAAGAGCGAUGGAAGCUUGCUUCUAUCAAUCUUAGUGGCGAACGGGUGAGUAACGCGUAAUCAACCUGCCCUUCAGAGGGGGACAACAGUUGGAAACGACUGCUAAUACCGCAUACGAUCUAAUCUCGGCAUCGAGGAUAGAUGAAAGGUGGCCUCUACAUGUAAGCUAUCACUGAAGGAGGGGAUUGCGUCUGAUUAGCUAGUUGGAGGGGUAACGGCCCACCGAGGCGAUGAUCAGUAGCCGGUCUGAGAGGAUGGACGGCCACAUUGGGACUGAGACACGGCCCAGACUCCUACGGGAGGCAGCAGUGGGGAAUCUUCCGCAAUGGACGAAAGUCUGACGGAGCAACGCCGCGUGAGUGAUGACGGCCUUCGGGUUGUAAAGCUCUGUUAAUCGGGACGAAAGGCCUUCUUGCGAAUAGUGAGAAGGAUUGACGGUACCGGAAUAGAAAGCCACGGCUAACUACGUG
rnacentral:rRNA from 1 species